AGUUGUGUUUUUUUUUCUGUCUUCUCUUUUGUCUGUUUCUCCCCCAUCAAACUUUGUUCUGUCAGUCUACAAUAGGGUGGAGUUUGAGUCAUGUGACGACAUUGUGAGGUAAGAGCUCGAGUGCAGAAGAGAAGAGCGGACUUGACAGAAAUUCAUUUAGCAUGUUGCUGUGUGCUUGGUCGCUGCUCGUCAUCACUGUGGCAGGCGCCAGCGGUGACCAGCUUGAGGCAGUCACGGGCGAAGUAUUGGGGUCAGAAGGCAAACAGGUGACACUGUCGUACGUUUACGCCACAGUGCUAACUGGUGGUGAUUCUUUCUUCUGGUACCAACAACUUCCUGGACAAGCACCACACUUCCUGCUUUCCCACUUGGGAAGCGGCAGCCCGUUAAACGCCAAGCAAGGAAUAUCGGCGAGCGUGGGAAGUGACAGGAGACGAGUGCACCUGCACAUCGAGAAUGUGACAAUUGAGCACUCUGCAGUGUACUACUGUGCUGUGAAGACCACAGUGACACAAGCGCCACAUUCUCGUUACAAGAACAUUUCCUCUUCCUAA